GAUGAACGCUGGCGGCGUGCCUAAUACAUGCAAGUCGAGCGAACGGACGAGAAGCUUGCUUUUCUGAUGUUGGCGGCGGACGGGUGAGUAACACGUGGAUCACCUACCUAUAAGACUGGGCUAACUUCGGGAACCCGGAGAUUAUACCGGAUAAUAUUUUGAACCGCAUGGUUCAACAGUGAAAGGCGGUCUUGCUGUCACUUAUAGAUGGAUCCGCGCUGCAUUAGCUAGUUGGUAAGGUGACGGCCUACCAAGGCAACGAUGCAUAGCCGACCUGAGGGGGGGAGCGGCCACACCGGAAUUGAGACACGGUCCAGACCCCGACGGGAGGCAGCAGUAGGGAAGCUUCCGCAAGGGGCGAAAGCCGGACGGUGCAACGCCGCGUGAGUGAUGAAGGUCUUCGGAUCGUAAUAGUCUGUUAUUAGGGAAGAAGAUAAGUGUAAGUAGCUGUGCACAUCGUGACGGUACCGAAUCAGAAAGCCACGGCUAACUACGUG
rnacentral:rRNA from 1 species